GGUUAAGCGACUAAGCGUACACGGUGGAUGCCUAGGCAGUCAGAGGCGAUGAAGGGCGUGCUAAUCUGCGAAAAGCGUCGGCAAGGUGAUAUGAACCGCUACACCCGACGAUACCCGAAUGGGGAAACCCAGUGUGUUUCGACACAUUAUCAUCACAUGAAUACAUAGUGUGAUGAGGCGAACCGGGGGAACUGAAACAUCUCAGUACCCCGAGGAAAAGAAAUCAACCGAGAUUCCCCCAGUAGCGGCGAGCGAACGGGGAGGAGCCCAGAACCAGAAUCAGUUUGUGUAUCAGUGGAAGCGUCUGGAAAGUCGCACGACAGAGGGUGAAAGUCCCGUACACGAAGAUGCACGGAUUGUGAGUUCGAUGAGUAGGGCGGGACACGUGACAUCCUGUCUGAAUAUGGGGGGACCAUCCUCCAAGGCUAAAUACUCCUGACUGACCGAUAGUGAACCAGUACCGUGAGGGAAAGGCGAAAAGAACCCCGGCGAGGGGAGUGAAAUAGAACCUGAAACCGUGUACGUACAAGCAGUGGGAGCC
rnacentral:rRNA from 1 species